UGGCGUAACAAAGGGAAGCGAAGGGGUGACCCGGAGCGAAUCCCAAAAAUAACGUCUCAGUUCGGACUGUAGUCUGCAACCCGACUACACGAAGCUGGAAUCGCUAGUAAUCGCGGAUCAGCAUGCCGCGGUGAAUACGUUCCCGGGCCUUGUACACACCGCCCGUCACACCAUGGGAGUUUGUAACGCCCAAAGUCGGUGGCCUAACCUUUAUGGAGGGAGCCGCCUAAGGCGGGACAGAUGACUGGGGUGAAGUCGUAACAAGGUACC
rnacentral:rRNA from 1 species